CCCCUGGAGCAUGUGAGCCCACUUGAUCAUGGAGAAGGAUGCACCUAGAGCAGAAACAAGGAUGCUGAUGACAUAGUGUCUGCUCCUGCAUGUUGCCUGAAACUUCCCUAAAGGAGCUCCAAGCAACCAGUCUAAACUGUCCUGACAAGCAGACCGUAGCAGAAGGGAUUCAGGAAAGACCUCGGAUGGAAGCCUUUAGAAGUGAGAGGUCAGCCUGCUGGACACAGGUGGCCUAGCAAACAGCCAGCCCCAGCUGCCAGCCAUGAGGGUGAAGCCAUCCCAGACCAUCUAGCCUCAGUUCAGCCACUGGAAGACUACAGCUACAUGACAUGAGACCAGCAGGGCUGCCCACCUGAGUCCAGCCCAAAUUUCUAGCCCACAGAACUGUGAGAAAAUAAAAUGGUUAUUAUUUUAAGCACUAAGUUUUGGGGUGGCUUGUUACACAGCAACAGUUGACUGAUACAGCAUGGGGCCCUGAUAAAGAAUAGAGUAAGAGAACGAAGCUGAUGAGGGCCUGUUGU